CCUACGGGAGGCAGCAGUGGGGAAUAUUGGACAAUGGGGGAAACCCUGAUCCAGCGACGCCGCGUGAGUGAAGAAGUAUUUCGGUACGUAAAGCUCUAUCAGCAGGAAAGAAAAUGACGGUACCUGACUAGAAAGCCCGGGUUAACUACGUGCCAGCAGCGCGGUUAAUCCGUAGGGGCCAAGAGUAAUCCGGAUUUCCUGGGUGAAAAGGGAACGUAGAGGGCAGGGCAAGUCUGGAGUGAAAUGCCGGGGCCCAACCCCGGAACUGCUCUGGAAACUGUGAAGCUGGAGUGCAGGAGAGGUAAGCGGAAUUCCUGGUGUAGCGGUGAAAUGCGUAGAUAUCAGGAGGAACACCGGCGGCGAAGGCGGCUUACUGGACUGUAACUGACGUUGAGGCUCGAAGGCGUGGGGAGCAAACAGGAUUAGAUACCCGAGUAGUC
rnacentral:rRNA from 1 species